UCUUUCUAUAGAAAACGUAGCAGUCGCUGUGCUCUCUCUCUACUCAACUUGUCGUUACAAACCAUGGAAAAGAGGCUCACGAAAUACUCGACAUCCACCGAUGUCUACUCUUCUUUCUUUCUUAUGGCUUUAUUCUUUGUUCUUCUUCUUUACUCUACUCUGUUUCUGGUUUGUUCACAAUUCGAGUACUGGACUUUGUCAUUGUUUCGGAUUUUUUUAGGUUGAACCAGUUCAUCAUCAUGUGCAUAAAGUCACGAAUCCUUUGCAAAAAGCUAAUAAGAGAGAGAUGAAUGAUUUGGAAAUCAAAGAUAAACGGAAGAAGCAGAAGAAACACAACGAGAGAUAUGAUGAGAUGCAGAUGGAGAAAUACGAGAAGGAAAUAGAAAAAUUGAGGAAAUCUUUGAAAGAGAUGACUGAAACAGUUAAAGAACUACGGCACAUUAUUCAAACAAGUGCC